GACGAACCGUGCGAACGUUAUUCGGAAUCAUUGGGCUUAAAGCGCGUGUAGGCGGAUUCGUGCGUCUGUCGUUGAAAUCCCCCGGCUCAACCGGGGAAGUGGCGCGGAUACGACGAGUCUGGAGGGGCAUAGGGGGACCUGGAACUUCCGGUGGAGCGGUGAAAUGCGCAGAUAUCAGGAGGAACACCGGUGGCGAAGGCGGGUCUCUGGGCCGAUACUGACGCUGAGGAGCGAAAGCGUGGGGAGCGAACAGG
rnacentral:rRNA from 1 species